rnacentral:rRNA from 1 species
CCCUUAGAUGUCCUGGGCCGCACACGCGCUACACUGAAGGAGGCAGCGUGUACUCCUGGAUCGAAAGAUUUGGGUAACCCGCGAAUCUCCUUCGUGCUAGGGAUUGAGGUUUGCAAUUAUCCUUCAUGAACGAGGAAUUCCCAGUAAGUGCAAGUCAUAAGCUUGCGCUGACUACGUCCCUGCCCUUUGUACACACCGCCCGUCGCUACUACCGAUUGAAUGGUCCGGUGAAAAUUUCGGAUACCGGCAUUGCUGGCGGUUCGCCGCCGGCGACGCUGGUAGAAGAUCUUUAAACCUUAUCAUUUAGAGGAAGGAGAANUCGUAACA